CCUACGGGUGGCUGCAGUGGGGAAUAUUGCACAAUGGGCGCAAGCCUGCUGCAGCCAUGCCGCGUGUGUGAAGAAGGCCUUCGGGUUGUAAAGCACUUUCAGCGGGGAGGAAGGCGUUAAGGUUAAUAACCUUGUCGAUUGACGUUACCCGCAGAAGAAGCACCGGCUAACUCCGUGCCAGCAGCCGCGGUAAUACGGAGGGUGCAAGCGUUAAUCGGAAUUACUGGGCGUAAAGCGCACGCAGGCGGUCUGUCAAGUCGGAUGUGAAAUCCCCGGGCUCAACCUGGGAACUGCAUUCGAAACUGGCAGGCUAGAGUCUUGUAGAGGGGGGUAGAAUUCCAGGUGUAGCGGUGAAAUGCGUAGAGAUCUGGAGGAAUACCGGUGGCGAAGGCGGCCCCCUGGACAAAGACUGACGCUCAGGUGCGAAAGCGUGGGGAGCAAACAGGAUUAGAUACCCUAGUAGUC
rnacentral:rRNA from 1 species